AAUACGUUCCCGGGCCUUGUACACACCGCCCGUCAAGUCACGAAAGUCGGUAACACCCGAAGCCGGUGGCCCAACCCUUGUGGGGGGAGCCGUCGAAGGUGGGACUGGCGAUUGGGACU
rnacentral:rRNA from 1 species